rnacentral:rRNA from 1 species
GAUCAUGGCUCAGGAUGAACGCUAGCGACAGGCUUAACACAUGCAAGUCGAGGGGCAGCGGGGAGUAGCAAUACUUCGCCGGCGACCGGCGCACGGGUGAGUAACACGUGUGCAACCAACCCCGUACCGGGAGAUAACCCACGAAACGUGGACUAACAUCCCAUAAUACUGGAGGAUCGCAUGAUCUUUCAUUUAAAAUUCCGGUGGUACGGGACCGGGCACGCGCGACAUUAGGUAGUUGGCGGGGUAAGGGCCCAACCG